rnacentral:lncRNA from 1 species
AUUACUUUUAAAAGUUAUUGUUACCAUUUACCUACAUUGUGUUAUUUUCAGAAAACAUUAUUAGUGUGAUGCUCAGUGCAUUGUAUUGCUUGCUUGUUUAUUGCUUCUGUGACAGGGUCUCCUGGGCUGGCUUCACAUUUGCCAAGAAUGACCCUGAACUACCGACCCUCCUGCCUCCACCCAUCAAGUGCAGGCAUUGCAGGCUUGCUCCACCACACAUGUAUGGUGUUAACUUUUAGAUGAUUCACUUUCUUUUUGACUUAGUACAUGAUCAGUUUUGUGAAUGUCUUCAUUUAUACUUGAAAAAAUAUACUUUUUUUGAUUAUUGCUUUACAAAUUGUUUUAUUCUUUAAUAAAUAUCCAUAAUUGCUUAAUUUGUUAAUUUUCUUUUUGAGAAGCUUAUUUGUUAAAAAUUUUUAGUUGUCUGUUAUAUUCUCCGUAGAAUUACACUACUAGUUUAAAGCCGCCAGAUACAGUUGUAGGAACAGAACUGUGAUAUUUCGCAAGAGUUACAAGCAUUCUGAACCACGUUUCUUCAGCUGAAUUUUCUCCAGUGGUUUUCUUUAUGUUGUUUGCUCUGAAGAAAAUUUUUUUUGUUUGUUUUAGCAAACUUGUAUAUAGACACAGAAUUUGCAAGGGUAUGUACACACCAUGGCUAUGGUUAGUCUUAUUACCAUACUUUUAUUGCUUUACAGUCAUUUAAUUUCUAGCCCUAUAAAAAGAACUACUUCACCUCAAUGGUAGAGGCUACAGUGAGCGCGCACUUAGGAUAUCCUAGAUGGUCUCAUCUUGCUUGCUCCUGGAGAUUACAUCACCUCAGAUGACGUCAUCCCAGCCUAAAACAUACCAUUAGCGGUAACUUCAAUCCUUAAUUAGAGAUGACUUCAUCCCUUCCUUAGUCAGAAAUGACCUUGUUUGGAUAGUCCUUUUGUUAUUCCCC